AUACGGAGGGUGCGAGCGUUAAUCGGAAUUACUGGGCGUAAAGCGUACGUAGGCGGUUGGUUAAGUUAGAUGUGAAAGCCCCGUGCUUAACCUGGGAACUGCAUUUAAAACUGGCGAACUAGAGUUGAGUAGAGGGGAGUGGAAUUUCAGGUGUAGCGGUGAAAUGCGUAGAGAUCGGAAGGAACACCAGUGGCGAAGGCGACUCCCUGGACUCGAACUGACGCUGAGGUACGAAAGCGUGGGUAGCAAACGGGAUUAGAAACCCUAGUAGUCC
rnacentral:rRNA from 1 species